GUCUGUGGCCGCACCCCUCUGAACUCACCUGAUCUUAGAAGCUAAGCAGUGUCUGGCCUGGUGAAUACAUGGAUGGGAGAAUAGAAAGGAGGAAUUGUCC
rnacentral:rRNA from 14 species